rnacentral:tRNA from 1 species
GCCCCCGUAGCUCAGGGGAUAGAGCACCGCUCUCCUAAAGCGGGUGUCGCAGGUUCGAAUCCUGCCGGGGGCAC